CUUGGUGGCUAUAGCGUCUGUGACCCACCCGAUCCCAUCUCGAACUCGGCCGUGAAACCGGACAGCGCCGAUGGUACUAUGUCUUAAGGCAUGGAAGAGUAGGUCGUCGCCAGGC
rnacentral:rRNA from 1 species